rnacentral:rRNA from 1 species
UACGGAGGGGGCUAGCGUUGUUCGGAAUUACUGGGCGUAAAGCGCACGUAGGCGGCUUUGCAAGUCAGAGGUGAAAGCCCGGGGCUCAACCCCGGAAUUGCCUUUGAGACUGCAUCGCUAGAAUUGUGGAGAGGUAAGUGGAAUUCCGAGUGUAGAGGUGAAAUUCGUAGAUAUUCGGAAGAACACCAGUGGCGAAGGCGACUUACUGGACCCAUAUUGACGCUGAGGAGCGAAAGCGUGGGGAGCGAACAGG